GUCUGUCACCCUGGGUAGAGUGCUGUGACAUCACAGCUCACAGCAACCUCCAACUCCUGGGCUUAAGCAAUUCUCCUGCCUCUGCCUCCCAAGUAGCUGGGACUACAGGCACCUGCCACAACACCCAGCUAUUUUUUGGUUGCAGCCAUCAUUGUUGUUUGGCAGGCCCCGGCUGGAUUCGAACCCGCCAGCUCAUCCCUUUGGGGACUCAGGGAGACAGCAAGAGUCUUCUGGACCCCAGGAGGAGGACAAAAGCAGUGGAGAAGUGGCAAGUGGUUGCGUUCAUUUCUUCUGAGACUGUGACUGUUGGCAGCUGUAGCUACAAUAGCAUCAAGAUUGCAAACAGGGAAGGCCUUCCCUGUAGGUUGUUUUGUUUUUUUGGACUCGGGCACUCGGUUGAACUACCUUGGGAGAACUUGGGCGAGAGUGGGGAUGGAUGAUGCCCAAUCUUAAAUUCAGCAGCUCACUUGGGAAGAUUGUCAGGUGCUGUUCACCACGGAAAAGAGAGAGAAUGCUGUCGGAGGCCCAGAAGUCGGUCAAGGGCUGAGACGGGACUCCCACUACCAACCCCGCUGAGAUUGAUGCUGCCUUUCCCCUCACCCGCCCUAAGUGGGACUUUAAUACGGGACCAGGUCAGGUACAAAAAGAAUGUUGGAACUGCCUGCAAGCUACUUAUGAAGCGGGCCCCAUACCUGACCCCCACAAGUUCCGGCCUGGCGACUGGGUCUAUGUGAAGAGGCACCGCCGGGAAACACUGGAACCCUGCGGGAAAGGACCCUAUGUUGUAGUCCCGACGACACCAACUGCCCUUAGAGUGGACGGUUGCCUCCUGGCUACACCACACCCAUGUCAAACUUGCAGACCCAUUCACCAUCUGGGAAGACUUCAUCCCACAAUGAAAGAUUCAGCGGGACAGAGGCAAUCCUUUAAAACUCAAGCUGCAGCGCUCUCCACCUGCUCCAUGCUGAUUUUAUUGCUCGUAUGUACUCCCUUGUGUGCUUCCCCCUGCUCGAACCCACACCAACCUUAUAAUGUAACCUGGCAGAUCUUUGGGGGGCCUAUCUCUGGAGUCCGGUCCGAAGAGUGGACAUUGUUAAAUUCUACUUGGGGGAUACACCCUAGGGACACGUGGUUCCCAGAUUUAUUUGUGGACCUGGACCAGAUAAUAGGCCUGACAUAUAGCUCAUGGACAGCACGGGAUAGCUCUUACUAUGUAUAUCCAGGCCACACUAUUACAAGUGUGGGGGAAAACGCCAUUAUUUUUGUCAACACUGGAGCUGUGUCUCCACGGGCCAGAUCUGGUGGGAACCCCCUAAAGCUCCUGAUUUGAUAAUAGUGAAAAGGAGCCCCCAUCCAUGGUCAGAUAGAACUGGCAGGAACAAUUGCCACAAGACAGGGGUUCAAGGGAAAUGGAGACUCUGCUACCCAGUGCGCAUUCAGUUCACAGAUGUGGGAAAAAAGGCCCCCUCCUGGGAAUCCGGUAAAAACUGCCUAAAGGGACUUCGCCUUUAUGCCGUGGAUCGAAUGGGCUAUAAGGAGGAUUCUUUUUUUUUUUUUUUUUGUAGAGACAGAGUUUCACUUUAUGGCCCUGGGUAGAGUGCCGUGGCAUCACACAGCUCACAGCAACCUCCAACUCCUAGGCUUAAGCAAUUCUCUUGCCUCAGCCUCCCAAGCAUCUGGGACUACAGGUGCCCGCCACAACGCCCAGCUAUUUUUUUGUUGCAGUUCGGCUGGGGCCAGGUUUGAACCUGCCACCCUCGGUAUAUGGGGCCGCCACUCUACCGACUGAGCCACAGGUGCCGCCCAAGGAGGAUUCUUUAGACUGAGAGUGGUGUACAGUCUACUGAUAGAAAAACCUACCUGGAUUGGCCCCAACCGAAUUCUCCAGCCCCUAGCAGACCCCCAGAUUCUCCCAGAGUUGACAACUUGUGCCCCUGAAACAGCCCUGUCAGUUAAUUCUUCCAGGAGCCAGCUUGAGUUCCUGGACCUCACCUGGGAGUUACUCACGAAUACAUACCAGGUGGUAAACUUAACCAGGCUGGAUCUGACAGUGGCCUGCUGGCUCUGCUUUAGUGUAAAACCCCCUUAUUAUGAGGGCAUUGUCAUUCUGGGGAACUACACCUCUGGGGAAGCCACGGCUUGCCAAUGGCAUCAGAACCACCCUAGACUUACCCUUUAAAUAGUAGUAGGGAAAGGCGUGUGCAUCAGGAAAGUGCCUAUCUCCCACCAACACCUAUGCAAUGCCACCGCCCAGUGGAAUGGUACUGGGUAUCUAAUACCCUCAAGCAAUGCCUCUUGGGCCUGCUCCAUAGGAUUAGCCCUAUGUAUACACGCGGAGGUCUUAAAUCAGAAUCAUGAUUACUGUGUCCUGGUACAGUUAAUACCUAAAAUAAUCUACCAUGAAGAGGGCACAGUACUGCAGAGAUUCUUAAACCCAACCCCACGCAGGAAGCGGGAAAUAAUUACCGCACUGAACAUCUCAGCGUUAUUAGGGUAGGGUUUAGCGAGGGCUGGGACUGGGGUGUCUACCUGAAGGGAACUAGACUUAUCAAUCCUUCAACAAGGAGGGCUCUGUGCUGCCUUAGGAGAGGAAUGCUCUUUCUAUGCUGGUCACUCAGGAGUGGUGAAAGAAUCAAUGGCCCUUGUGUGGGAGAGUGUGCACAAGUGUAAAUUAGAAAGAGAAAGUGAACAGAGCUGGUAUGAGUUCUUCAGUUGGUCCCCCUGGUUGAUAACUCUGAUAUCAGCUUUGGCUGGUCCCCUAGUGCUACUACUCCUACUCCUAACUAUAGGCCCCCGCUUCAAUAGGCUCAUCACUUCUGUACGAGAACGAUAGGGGCAGUACAAUUGUUAGUUUUGAGAAGCCAAUAUCAGCCUCUCCCAGAUGGGGGGUGGGGCUGGAGAAGACACAGAUGGUGCCAGUCCCAUGAUUGGGCCCUUGGAGUCACAAGGCAGAGGGGAAUGAGAGAACUGAACUAAUGCCAUCUUAGGAAGUUCCACCACCAUCUUAGGAGUUAAGUUUCGUUUCUCCACCAUUUUGUUCUGUAAGUUUCAUUUUCUAGUAAGCCCAGGCAAUUCUCCGAAAUCACAAGAUGGUCACCUCCUAAUCAGAACCCACACUCUGGAUCAGGCCACCCAGUGGCCAAUCCUGAAGUGUCCUAUACCUGGUACCUCUGUAUGCCCUGCCUGCUGUGCCAAAUUAUAAAAACCCUCCACCCCAGAGCUUGGGGCUCCUGGCUUGGAUCCGCUGCAGCAGAGCCCCCCGGGAGCCCAAGCUCGAGCUUGCUGCAAUAAAAGGCUCUUUUGCUUUUGCACCGGA